rnacentral:misc_RNA from 1 species
GGAAAUUCUGCUUUAAUAUUAAACAAUAAAGAGUGAACUGACCCUUUCUAUUCUGCAUUCUUUUAAUGCUUUUAUAUUUCAACCGCAAAUUAAAUUUUUUCGCAUUGAAAUGGUACUGUUCAUUUGUAAGUGUAGCAGCCAUGCUACCAGUUUUAGGCAAGAAUAAGUUUUAAGAUUUCCUUCGCCAACACCAAGAAUAUCAGCAAGACAAAAAGCAACAAAGAGGACAUUUACUAAUCCACUAAGUGAUUACUCGAAGUAAUUCUUGUCAUAUCCCAGAGAUAAGUGCAGCUCUCAAUUUGGGACAAGCAGCAUUGUUCUAGCUCAGGUUUGACUUUGAGCCAGAAAAUCCCUGUGGUGAAAUGAAAAUCUAGUGGUCAAGAAAACCAAAAUUGACUGCAGAAACAUACAAAGGCUGCAACAGCAUUCUGCAGAAACAUGUUCAAGCAUAUAAUGGCUUGAGGCAUUCGUCAACCAUAUCCAAUGGGUUAUGCUAAUGCACAAACUCUACCAAGUGUGCAAACAGGCAAAAGAGGAAGGUGCCUUCUCAAGGCUUGCAUACUCAUGAUUCAAACAUGUCUAUUAAGUCACCAAAAUGGAGGGCAUGCCAAAAGAAAGGAAGGGAAAAAAUAUAUAUAUUACAAUGAUUUCUAGUUGGCAACCAAAUCUUACUCAAAUCAAAUAAAUAAUUCCCCGCAGAUGCAUCAGAAAAACAUAACUUUUAUGCAAGCCAUCAUCAUGUGAAUGGACAAUAUGCAGACCAUUUGAAUGUGAAUGGACAAUACGCAUUCAAGUAAAGUUAUAGCAGCAUAUCAAAAUCAGUGACAGAAUAAAGGUUUAAAAAUUAAAACAAUGAACUGACGUUGGAAAACUAAAUUUGAAACUGAACAUGGAUGGACAAUAUACAAAACUGGGCAGAAUACUCUCUUACUCUUUGCACUUUCAAUUAAGCAAUAUAUCAAGCUAAAAUAAUAAUAGAAACUGAAAUUACCUGAUAGCCUGAGGAGCAAUACAAAGAGCAGCAACAAGAAGCUUGAAAAUUUGGAGCCAACAACCUCAAACACAAGUGAAGCAGCAGCAAGAUCAGUUAUGGCCUCAGAAUUUCAAUUCUCCUUACAAUUAAUUCAAUGUGGUUGCUGGUAUGAAGCAUGCAGGUGCAGCUUUUUGGAUUGUUGUUCAUCAACAAAAAGCGAAAACUCCAAUUCAUAUUGAACAGGGAUUACAUGGGAAACCUAGAAAGGAGAUCCUAAAGAAGAAGGCCACAUAGAAUAAAUACUGCCUUGUAAUGGUGGACUAUAAUCUUUAGUAGAAAAGCAAUCCUUCAAAGUCUAGUUCAGGACUCUAGGUAUUUUCCCUCUUAUUUUUUCCAAGAAUAUAAUACUGCCCCCAAGUCUAGCACAUUAUCUUACAGGGAUUUUUCAUACUCUCGCAAAUAAGCCUUCCUAUUCUUCAAACUGAGGCCCUAAUUCACCUACGCCAUCCCCAAAUCUCUCAACUAUUAUGUAACUAUAGUUUUAGAAUUCCUUGCAUCAAUUUAGAUAAAUGAAGGUUUGAAAUAAAGGGAUAUUUGAAUUUGAGACUAUGUUAAUUUGUUGUGAUUCUUCACUUGAAACGCAACCAAAUCUCCUUUCCGAUCUAAUGCACACCUAAUUAAAGGAACUCUUAAAGAAUUUUUCAACCACAAUAAUUUGGUAGUCAAGUCAACAUCGCCUUUUUUUUUCCCUUGGUAUUAUUGCUUUUACAGGAAAUGGAAAAUCCACUACUUCAAAAGGAAAAUACAUCAAUAACAAGCAAUUACUGCAGCAACAUAGCCUGAACAAAGUCAUUUCUAAGGGGAUUCUCUUCUCUUUCUUUUUCAACCAAGAAUUCAAAAAAAAAUAACAAUAAUAAUUCAGGCACUAGAUUUCCAUGAUAAAUAAGAAAUAAUUUGUAAACCAUCAACAUAGAUACAUUUUGAAGUUCAAAGGGCUCCCAGUUCAAAUAAAGGACCGGUACCUAGCCUUGACGCUCCCCCACCUCCUUUUUCAUGAGAAAAAGAGAGAGAGAGAAAGAGAGAGGAGGAGAAAAGGGAAAAGUGGUUUCAGAAUCAGGUCUGUAAAACUUGGAACUUUUACUAAUGAAGGGCAUUCCCAACAUAAAGCACCAUGUUGGGAAAUUUUGCCUCUUUUAAGAUAAUAUACUAAGGCUGACUAGAUAUGAUAAAUCAUCAAUGAACAGAUAAGUUAACCUGAAGACAGCAAUAACCCUGUCAAUCUGUGGAUAUGAAUCAUCCAAAUUAUUAGCCAGCUUCUUUACGAAAAACAUCUUAAAUAAAUAAAGAAAUAAUACAUUUGCAUUCUAACCAAUUAUUGUCUCUCAAGAUAUUAUACAUACCUCUUUGCUGUGGUUCCUCUGG